GAAUGUCUUGCCUAAGCUGGUCGCCCAGACAGAUGGCCUUGCGGAGUGCAGUGCAUUGGGCUCGAGGCACUGGAUUUCUGACUGGAUCUCUGACAAGAGAUUUCGCUUCUGAAAACAUCAGUUUACACAGAAAUUCAGUUUCAACCAGGGAAAAAGCAACACCUGUUAAUCAAGUGCUCCUUGUUUUGUUGAUUUUCACUGGGGGUAGAGGUAUUUUUGGUGCGCUGUUUUGUUGAUCUGCAUUAACCAAGUGUGCUGUAGCAGCUGCG